rnacentral:lncRNA from 1 species
ACACGAGGGUCAGGCCAGGCUGCCAGCAUCAUGUUGGAAUGUGAUGUUGUUCCCUUUGGAGUCUCCCCUAGAUGAAUAUUUCCAGCACCACCUACUUGCCACACCCUUCUCUCUCUGGACCUUCCUGCAGAGUCACCAAGGAAAGAGUGGCCUUUCACCUCUCUGAGCCUCUUCUGUAAAGUGAGUUUAAAGAGACCUGCUCACAGACUUGGAAGAUGGCUCAGUGGAUAAAGCACUUGCUCCACAAGCGUGAAGACCUAAGUUUGACUCUCCAGAGCUCACAUAAAGCUCCUGGCUGGUGACAUGUGGAUGACACUCUAUAACUAUCAGAUGGUCCCACAAAUACCAACAUUGCUGCUCCAUCUGAAUCAAAUCCUCCAUACCCACAAGGGUUGUUUGUCCUCUUUUCUGCCUGAUGUCACAGCUGGGAUACCUUGAUGUCACAAAGUGGAAGAUGAAGAGGCAUAGUCUAACAUGUGGAAGAAAAUGUGAUGCUGGGGUCCAGUUUUUCUUGAGUGGUUGUGCAUUUCUAUCUGCUUUUCUUAGCUCUGUUCAUUUCCCUGCUCCAGUAUUCACUUGCUGUUGCCAGGGACCCAUGAGCCUCGGAGUUGAAGUCAAGAUAGCUCCCUGGCUCUGGAUUUUGCAGUAAUGAAUGCACCCACCAAGGUAAUAAUAAACUCGCAGUCUCA